CCUCACUGCUCUCUAGGGAGUCAAACUGCUUAUCUCUGCAAUAUACAUGAUAGGUGCAUGCAGAAUCUAAAAUCCACUGCUGAAAAGAAGUAGGUACCUCAUCAGAUAUCUCUGAGACAUCAUCCUCUGACUCGCUACUGGCUGUCGCUGUAGUAGCCCUCGUCCGAUCUCUGAGUUGAGAGCAAUCUCUGGCUAGAUGUCCCAACUCGUCACACCAAUAACAUCUGAUCUUGCUCACAUCUCUCAUCUUGGACUUGGAUUGCCCUCACUAUGAUCUCCUGUCGUCAUAUCUGCCGCCUCC
rnacentral:lncRNA from 1 species